AUACGAGGGGUGCAAGCGUUAAUCGGAAUUACUGGGCGUAAAGCGUUCGUAGGCGGUUUGUUAAGCAAGAUGUGAAAGCCCUGGGCUCAACCUGGGAACUGCAUUUUGAACUGGCAAGCUAGAAUACUGUAGAGGGUGGUGGAAUUUCCAGUGUAGCGGUGAAAUGCGUAGAGAUUGGAAGGAACAUCAGUGGCGAAGGCGGCCACCUGGACAGAUAUUGACGCUGAGGAACGAAAGCGUGGGGAGCGAACAGGAUUAGAAACCCCGGUAGUCC
rnacentral:rRNA from 1 species